rnacentral:piRNA from 1 species
UAUUUAGGUUCGCACCAGAUCCUCUGUGUUU